rnacentral:rRNA from 1 species
GAUGAACGCUGGCGGCGUGCCUAAUACAUGCAAGUCGAGCGAACGGACGAGAAGCUUGCUUCUCUGAUGUUAGCGGCGGACGGGUGAGUAACACGUGGAUAACCUACCUAUAAGACUGGGAUAACUUCGGGAAACCGGAGCUAAUACCGGAUAAUAUUUUGAACCGCAUGGUUCAAAAGUGAAAGACGGUCUUGCUGUCACUUAUAGAUGGAUCCGCGCUGCAUUAGCUAGUUGGUAAGGUAACGGCUUACCAAGGCAACGAUGCAUAGCCGACCUGAGAGGGUGAUCGGCCACACUGGAACUGAGACACGGUCCAGACUCCUACGGGAGGCAGCAGUAGGGAAUCUUCCGCAAUGGGCGAAAGCCUGACGGAGCAACGCCGCGUGAGUGAUGAAGGUCUUCGGAUCGUAAAACUCUGUUAUUAGGGAAGAACAUAUGUGUAAGUAACUGUGCACAUCUUGACGGUACCUAAUCAGAAAGCCACGGCUAACUACGUGCCAGCAGCCGCGGUAAUACGUAGGUGGCAAGCGUUAUCCGGAAUUAUUGGGCGUAAAGCGCGCGUAGGCGGUUUUUUAAGUCUGAUGUGAAAGCCCACGGCUCAACCGUGGAGGGUCAUUGGAAACUGGAAAACUUGAGUGCAGAAGAGGAAAGUGGAAUUCCAUGUGUAGCGGUGAAAUGCGCAGAGAUAUGGAGGAACACCAGUGGCGAAGGCGACUUUCUGGUCUGUAACUGACGCUGAUGUGCGAAAGCGUGGGGAUCAAACAGGAUUAGAUACCCUGGUAGUCCACGCCGUAAACGAUGAGUGCUAAGUGUUAGGGGGUUUCCGCCCCUUAGUGCUGCAGCUAACGCAUUAAGCACUCCGCCUGGGGAGUACGACCGCAAGGUUGAAACUCAAAGGAAUUGACGGGGACCCGCACAAGCGGUGGAGCAUGUGGUUUAAUUCGAAGCAACGCGAAGAACCUUACCAAAUCUUGACAUCCUUUGACAACUCUAGAGAUAGAGCUUUCCCCUUCGGGGGACAAAGUGACAGGUGGUGCAUGGUUGUCGUCAGCUCGUGCCGUGAGAUGUUGGGUUAAGUCCCGCAACGAGCGCAACCCUUAAGCUUAGUUGCCAUCAUUAAGUUGGGCACUCUAAGUUGACUGCCGGUGACAAACCGGAGGAAGGUGGGGAUGACGUCAAAUCAUCAUGCCCCUUAUGAUUUGGGCUACACACGUGCUACAAUGGACAAUACAAAGGGCAGCGAAACCGCGAGGUCAAGCAAAUCCCAUAAAGUUGUUCUCAGUUCGGAUUGUAGUCUGCAACUCGACUACAUGAAGCUGGAAUCGCUAGUAAUCGUAGAUCAGCAUGCUACGGUGAAUACGUUCCCGGGUCU